GAACGGGUGAGUAACACGUGAGCAACCUGCCCUAGGCUUUGGGAUAACCCCGGGAAACCGGGGCUAAUACCGAAUAGGACCUGGCACCGCAUGGUGUUGGGUGGAAAGUUUUUCGGCCUGGGAUGGGCUCGCGGCCUAUCAGCUUGUUGGUGGGGUGAUGGCCUACCAAGGCGACGACGGGUAGCCGGCCUGAGAGGGCGACCGGCCACACUGGGACUGAGACACGGCCCAGACUCCUACGGGAGGCAGCAGUGGGGAAUAUUGCACAAUGGGCGGAAGCCUGAUGCAGCGACGCCGCGUGAGGGAUGACGGCCUUCGGGUUGUAAACCUCUUUCAGCAGGGACGAAGCGUAAGUGACGGUACCUGCAGAAGAAGCGCCGGCCAACUACGUGCCAGCAGCCGCGGUAAGACGUAGGGCGCGAGCGUUGUCCGGAUUUAUUGGGCGUAAAGAGCUCGUAGGCGGCUUGUCGCGUCGACUGUGAAAACCCACGGCUCAACCGUGGGCCUGCAGUCGAUACGGGCAGGCUAGAGUUCGGUAGGGGAGACUGGAAUUCCUGGUGUAGCGGUGAAAUGCGCAGAUAUCAGGAGGAACACCGGUGGCGAAGGCGGGUCUCUGGGCCGAUACUGACGCUGAGGAGCGAAAGCGUGGGGAGCGAACAGGAUUAGAUACCCUGGUAGUCCACGCUGUAAACGUUGGGCGCUAGGUGUGGGGGGCCUCUCCGGUUCCCUGUGCCGCAGCUAACGCAUUAAGCGCCCCGCCUGGGGAGUACGGCCGCAAGGCUAAAACUCAAA
rnacentral:rRNA from 1 species